rnacentral:sRNA from 1 species
CCGCUAGAAGUAUCAAAGUAUUGAGAAAGGUUCUUCUAGAGUUAAGAGAAAAAAACGAAUGAUAUGAAAAAGGGUUUAAGAGAUUCAUGAAUGCAAAGGGUAGAGUUAAACU